CUACGGGAGGCAGCAGUCGGGAAUAUUGCGCAAUGGGGGAAAGCCUGAUGCAGCCAUGCCGCGUGUGUGAAGAAGGCCCUAGGGUUGUAAAGCACUUUCAAUUGGAGGAAAAGGUAAUGUUAAUAGCCAUUAG
rnacentral:rRNA from 1 species